UUUUUGUCGUCGUACGGACAAAAUUAAUGUUAAAAAUGCAUGCAUUUGUGAAGUGCACUUCGCGCCAGAAGCCUUCGAAAGAAACUUGAAGUUUGAAAUGGGCAAUUAUAGCAUUUUGAUUACAAUAAUUUUACUUUUAGAACCAAACACUCUUGCAGGUUUAAGUUCGCGGAAUCCAACUAAGUUGUUACCUAGCGCUAUUCCCACGUUAACCACUGCUCCUGCAGAGGCUAAUGAACCGCAGGAAAGGAUGGAAUCUCGUUCUAAAAGGGAUGUUAACAACAAUGUUGAAGAAUACCGCCCCUGUUGGCACCUCAAACUGCAGGAGAGGAGGUCAUCGAUGAGAAAGACGAGAAAAUACUGCAUUUGGAAACAGAAAUACAAAGACUGAAUAGUGUUGUUAGAACUUUGAAGAGGUGCAAAAACGAGCAGUCAGCAGAUAUUAAACGCCUUAGGAUUUUCAUUAAAGCCUCAGAAUUCCACAGAAAUAAUUUGGAGCAAAAGCUUAGGUGCAUUUUCACCAACGGCCAGAUUGAAAAAUUAGGGAUGGAAAUAAACGGCGGAAUUGGAAAGAAGAAGACAUAGCUAAGUCGAUCACGCUAUGUUCAACGAGCCCGAAAGCGUACAAACUUUUACGGAGAAACAACUUUCCUCUUCCAGGUGUGCGCACUCUGCAAUGGUGGUCAAAGAAAAUUGACGUAGCUCCAGGUGUCAUAGAGCCGGUGAUGAAACUGUUGAAGGCAGCAACUGAGCUAACACAAGCGCAAAAAAUUUGUGUACUCAGUUUUGAUGAAAUGAAGAUCAGAAAGAGUUACUGUUACGAUAGAUCCACUGAUUCGACAUUGCCUCCUCUUAACUUCGUUCAGGUUGCAGUGAUAAAAGGUAAUUAAACUCAUUAAUUUUCUUGAAGUCAAUUUUUUCUAAUGUACUUUGUUCUUUUCGGUUUGAUAAGUAAAUGGAAACAGCCUGUAUUCUUCGAAUAUGACUGCAAAAUGACGAAGGAAGAGCUGUUUAGCAUUUUGUCAAGCGUUAAAAAGUGCGGUUACAAUAUUGUUGCCAUUGUAAGCGAUUUGGGUGGAUCAAAUAGAGGCUUAUAUAAUGAUCUUGAAAUUAAUGUGGAAAAACCUUGGUUUUUACACGAUGGAGACAGGGUUGUGGUUUUUGCUGCUGUCCCCUAUUUAAUAUGGCAAAAUUGUUAGAAAAGACAUUAUUCUGAAGCUGCUCUCGCUUACCUCCAACGACCUGUCCAUCACGCACCAAAUUUCUCAGAAGCAUUUGUCUGUAACAGGAGCAGAAAGGCAAAAGGUUAAACUAGCCACAAAAUUGUUCCCCCACACAAUUGCUCAAGCAAUAACUCGAGCCGCUAGCUUAAGUCUGCUAGAUAACGAAAAUUGGGAGGAAUGCCAUCGACUUUUCAAAAUUACAAAUGACUGGUUUGAUCUAAUGAAUGUCAGGGUGCCCAAAGAUGAAGAGAGGGAACGCUUACACGCCUACGGUUUGGCUUUGAACGAGCAAAAUAAUGUACUGGAACAGAUAACGGGGAUGGUUUCAUCAAUGGGAGUCAUUGGUAAAAAUGGGUUGCUUCCAUUCCAAAAAGGUAUACAUACUUCAAAGCAAUAAUGCUUUGAAAUUGCUGCUGGAUGACUUAAGACAGCGGUACAAAAUUGAUUACGUUUUGACCUACCGAUUAAACCAGGACGUUUUGGAAAAUUUUUUUUGGCAUAGUCAGGUCAAAAGGUGGUCUUCACAAUCACCCUGACAGGCAGGAGUUCAAAUAUAGGCUGCGUUCCUAUAUACUUGGUCACAACGAAGAAGCGUUCACAGAAGAAGAAAAUGUUGAAGUCGACAACACAUCAGAUUUGGAAGGGAAUUACUUAUCUCUAACCGGUAAUAUUUUCCAACGUGUGUCAGUUGAUCUGAAUUCCACUGACCCAAUUGAAAAAAAUGAUGACUUGGAGAUACUGAACAACGACGGACUUGAGAAUUUGGCAGGGUACAUCUGCCACAAACUCGGUAAAGACAACCCCCAAAUUUGUGCCAAUUCAGAAAAUUGUUCGUCUUAUACUUGGGUGGAUCACUUUUCUGAAGAAGGACUCUCAAAACCAACAGAUAUGAUGAUGGAGCAUAUGAGAGCCUUGCAAGCAGUAUUUGACGAUGUAAAUGGUACUGAUUUGCAUAUAUGUAUGUACAAAUUACGUCCAGAAACACUUAGUAACUUUAUAAAUUAUAGCUCGAAAGUAAAAGAAUUGUUUUUCAGAGCAAAAAUGUAUUUUAGGAUUCGUUCCUUAAACAAAAACUUAAUCGAACAUAUGUAUAGCAAAACAAGAAAAUUAAAUAACACAAUAAAUUGAUAC